AGGAAGAGGGGCCGGACUGGGGCCUGACUAGUCGUCGCCGUCUUCGCGGCUGCUAUGACCAGCGGGCGAGGCGCCCUUCGCAGCUCCGCGCAACGCUAGUCGCGGCCGUGCGCCUGCCGUAGCCGUCUGCGUCCCCAGCGCGGCCGCUCCCGCGGCCCCCUCGGCUCUGCCAGCGCCGCCUGCGAGGCGGAGGCAGGAUGAAGAUGACGGUGGAUUUCGAGGAGUGUCUGAAGGACUCGCCCCGCUUCAGGGCAGCUUUGGAAGAAGUAGAAGGUGAUGUGGCAGAAUUGGAACUAAAACUUGAUAAGCUUGUGAAACUUUGUAUUGCAAUGAUUGAUACUGGAAAAGCCUUUUGUGUUGCAAAUAAACAGUUCAUGAAUGGGAUUCGAGACCUGGCUCAGUAUUCUAGUAAUGAUGCUGUCGUUGAGACAAGUUUGACCAAGUUUUCUGACAGUCUUCAAGAAAUGAUAAAUUUUCACACAAUCCUGUUUGACCAAACUCAGAGAUCAAUUAAGGCACAGCUUCAGAACUUUGUUAAAGAAGAUCUUAGAAAAUUCAAAGAUGCCAAGAAGCAAUUUGAAAAAGUCAGUGAAGAAAAGGAAAAUGCAUUAGUAAAAAAUGCCCAAGUACAAAGAAACAAACAACAUGAAGUUGAAGAAGCCACCAACAUUCUGACAGCAACAAGAAAAUGUUUUCGACACAUAGCCCUCGAUUAUGUGCUUCAGAUUAAUGUUCUUCAAUCAAAAAGGAGAUCAGAAAUCCUAAAAUCAGUAAGAUAUUAAUUGAAAUGAUGUUUUAAAUAUUUUAAUAUGAAACUAAAUCUACGUAUUUAGGUAUUGAAAGAGCAUCUGCUGUAUACAUGAUAAGGUUUAUAAUUGCUCUUCUCUUUGAUCUUUAUUUGUGUUUCUUAUGUGGCACUGGACUGACUUCUUUUUGUCUCCUUCAUGUUAUAGUUGUUUGUGUGUCUCGUCUGUUGAUACACUGUGAGGUCCAUAAAGGUAGACUCUGUACUGUUACAUUUUUGUUUUCUUUUAUCCUCAUAUGUUGCUUUACAUGCACUAGAUGCCCAGUACCAUUUGGUGAAUAACUAAAAAUGUUUGGUGUAAAAACCUGUGAGAAUAUUUCAGAAUUUGUUUUGAAAGUUAUGAACAUAAAAAACUAUUACACUUAGGUUUUUAAUUUUUUCUCAAUUGUUUUGCUUUAAAACUUUUUUGCCCAACCUCUUUCAACAUAUUUACAUUUUUCUCUAUAAUUUUUGGCAUUAUUUGGACUUUAAAAAUAUUUGAGAUUGAGGAUUUAUAUGAAUAGUAUCAUUUGGAGAAUUUUUCCCUUAAAGUUGAUGGUGGGUCAGUCUUUUGGUUUGUUCUUUGGUAUGCAGUUACAAAACCAGUGGGAUGAAAUUUGGGGAUCACUUUUUUCCUUGAGCCUCUUCACCCAUGUGACAAUGAUUUUUUUUUUUUUUUUUUUGUGGUGGGGAGCCCUAUUUUUGGUCUUAAAGCUAACGAAGGCCGGGUGUGGUGGCUCACGCCUGUAAUCCCAGCACUUUGGGAGGCUGAGGUGGCUGGAUCACCUGAGGUCAGGAGUUCAAGACCAGCCUGACCAACAUGAUGAAACCCCAUCUCAACUAAAAAUACAAAAAAAUUAGCUGGGUGUGGUGGCGGGCGCCUGUAAUCCCAGCUACUUCGGGAGGCUGAGGCAGGGGAAUUGCUUGAACCCAGGAGGCAGAGGUUGCAGUGAGCCGAAAUCGCGCCAUUGCACUCCAGCCCAGGUGACAAGAGUGAAACUCUGUCUCAAAAAA
rnacentral:sRNA from 1 species